GGAAACAGAACCCAGGCGUCCUGAGUCCCAAUCAGCCCCCAGACGUGGGUCCCUGCUAAUGCUUUGUGCUCGCUGGGUGCAGACGGCUCCGGGCAAGGGGAACGGGUCACUCAGCAAGGGCUGUUGCCCUCUCUCGGGCGUGUGAGCUGGAGGUAGAUUGUACAGGUCACACUGCUGCCUCUUCCGUGCUCUGUCCUCCUCCACCAGGACUACUUCCAACCUCCCAGCCAAUCAGCACCUCUCAAUCCAGCCCCUUCACCCAGACAGUGCCCAUCUGUCCACCUCUGCCAGGACUACUUCCAGCCACCCCACCAAUCAGCACUUCCCAAUGCCGCCCCUUCACCUGUGUGCUGGCCACCUCUGCCGGGACUACUUCCAGCCUUUUACUUUUGGUACCUUUACCCUGCAGGUUGAGGGAUAUGUAAAAUAGACCCACUCCUAUUUACAAACGUUUCUUAGCUAGGGUUUCUAGAAAUCGGGGGGGGGGGCAGCAGAGAUCGCCCCAGGAGAUGGGAGAAAGGCUGUGUGUCUGGAGCCCGCCCCCUCUCGCAAGAGUGUGUCUGGCCUCUGCCCCGUCUCGCAUGAGUGUGUCUGGCACCUGUCCCAUCUCGCACAAGUGUGUCUGGCGCCUGCCCCCUCUUGCACGAGUGUGUCUGGCCCCUGCCCCGUCUCGCACGAGCACAUCUGGGACCUGCCACCUCUCGCACAAUGCAUGUGGCAGGGAUCCGUUGUCUCUCGCAUAGGUAGGAUUCCCCAUCUCUCGCACGGGCAGACGGGAUCAGAUAGUCCAACUGUCAACCCGUUUAACAGUUCUGUCCAGCCCCCGAACGCAUCCACACCCCCAGUUCUACAACACGGCGUCCUCCAGAUGGCGUGCCCUGGUACGUACGGUGCAGAGUGGAGGUGCCGCACAGAGGACGCCGCUUGAUAGAGCCCGCAUUUCGGUCUGUUGCCCAUGGAGAAGCCACCCAGCUGGCACCCGGCCUGUGGCCCCGAAUGAGGCCCAGAACCUACCGAGUCCAGUGGCCAGAAGCAAUUUCGGCAGAGGUGUUUCCUGUCAGAAAAGGCCAUUUUGUCACAAUUGAAAGGUGGAUUUCCACCUCCUUUUUGACAGAAAAAUUUGGAAACUGAUCAAAAUGGAGCCAGUCCUUCUGCUGCGUACAAUUCCUUAUUCUCUUAAACUUUCACACGCCAUUACACUCUGUUGUAUACCUUUACAUUAUAUAUUCCCUUAUACUCGGAGAUUAUAUGAUUUAUUAUUCUAUUACCUUUAUCUCAUUAUUCUACUAUCUAGACUUUAGAUUAUGUUACAUUGACAGAGCUAUAAUCUGAAUAGAGAAAAUACCAUCUAAUAGAAAAGCGUAAUAGAACCUAAAUACCGAAAAAAUAAUGGAUUAUAUUAUUAUAUGAGGAUAUUUCCUCCUGUUUAAAUUGCAGCUCUAUGCAAGUGCAAGAGAAUCUAAACAGAGACAAAGAAUCGAUUGCACUUUGAUAUUCAAUUCUAUUUUCUCUGUUUAGAUUCUAUUAUACAAUUUCUCGUUCACCGCAGCAGAUCUUGUAUUGUGCUGUUUUACAUUCCUCUCGCUUUGCCAUCUCAUGCUGAGAUCUCGCCUAGCUCAUGUUUUCUGUCCUGUUCGAAGGCUUCAAACGUAUCAAAAGAGAGCGUCCGGCUGCUCCCGACCGUCCGGCGUUUUCCCGGAAUUUCCAUUCCACCAACAUUCCAAAAUCUCGACUCGUCGGCCCGUUUCGGGGCAAUUUGUCGGUUUGUCCUGACGCCCCAAAGGAGCAGGGACAGGAGGCCGAGUGGCAGGAUGGCAGCCAGAUCAGGAGGCCUUGGGAGGCCGCAGCUGAGGGGCGGGCUGUGGGGGGCAGCCAGAUCUCAGCCUGGAAGAUGAAUCGGGGGGGGGGGCAGUUUGCACCAUGGGAGAUGCUGCUUGGGGGAGGGACCUGGGGUCUCUAUUUGCACCGUGCAUGGGCAGGGGCUGUGUAGGGAUGCAGUGACCGCUCUGCCUUUGGGUCUCCUUUGCCAGGUGCCCCCUCCCCACGGAGGGACCCCCUCUCUCCCACGCCCAGAGUGGGCAUCAUGGCUGGUGGGAAGCAGGAGCUGAAGAGAAGCGUUUCCAUCAUCCCCUGCUUUGUGUUCGUGGAGCUGGUGAUCAUGGCGGGCACGGUGCUGCUGGCGUAUCACUUCGAAUACACCGACACCUUCCCCGUCCACAUCCAGGGCUUCUUUUGCUACGACAGCACCUACGCCAAGCCCUACCCGGGGCCCGAGGACACCAGCCGCGCCCCACCCGUCCUGGUCUACUCCCUGGUCACCGCCGUGCCCACGGCCAUGAUCCUGGUCGGGGAAUUGGCUGCAUUUUUCUGCUGGCCACGGCGGCGUAAGGAGAAAACCAUCAUCUCUGGGGAGUGCUGCUACUUCAUCCCGCUGCUGAGACGCAUCGUCCGCUUCCUGGGUGUCUAUUCCUUCGGCCUGUUCACCACCACCAUCUUCGCGAAUGCCGGGCAGGUCGUCACGGGGAACCAGACCCCCCACUUCCUCUCCGUGUGCCGUCCCAACUACACGGCGCUGGGGUGCCAGCUGCCUGGCCCCCAGUACAUCACCGACCGGGGGGCCUGUGCUGGGAACCCCACCCUGGUCACUGCAGCCCGCAAAGCCUUCCCCUCCAAGGAUGCUGCGCUCAGUGCCUACGCCGUGGUCUACACCGCCAUGUACGUGACGCUGGUGCUGGAGGUGCGGGGCUCCCGGCUGGCCAAGCCCACGCUCUGCCUGGCGCUGGCCGGCCCGGCUGCCCUAGUGGGGGUGGUGCGGGUGGCCGAGCACCGAAACCACUGGGCUGAUGUGCUGGCCGGAUUCCUGACCGGGGCCGCCAUCGCCGCCUUCCUGGUCACCUGCGUGGUCAAUAACUUCCGGAGCAAGGCGCCCGCGGCCCAGAAACCGGCGCCGGCCGAGAGUCUGGCCAGCGUCCCUGGCGUGGGGCUGCCCUGCGUCGAGAGCCCCCUGGAAAAGUUCAGCGUAGCCCAGCGGGUCAGGGACCCCCCAGAAGAGCAGGAUUUCUCCACUCUACUCACCCGAGGCCUGGAGAGGCAGCUAGCUCGCUCCCUCCGCAUGGGGGGCCACGCUGGGGCGGCUCGGCCCUACGAGUAAGUGCCACCCCUCUACGCCCUGCUGGAGACCUGCCGAGGGAGCGCGCCCUCCCCCCACCCCAGGCAGGAUCACAGAGCUGUGCUCCCAGAAAUCACCUGACCCCCAGCUGUGUCUCUUCCCCACCACCCCCGACGUGCUCAUCCCCUCCCGCUCCGUCACCAGCGAG